CAGCUGGACCGGACGGUCGCUCUUGCUUCGUCAAGGAGCAGGGGAGGAAAGUCCGAACUCCACAGAGCAGUGUGCCGGAUAACGUCCGGGAAACUGAGUUCAAGCUCAGGUGACGGAAAGUGCCACAGAAAACAUACCGCCUUUGUUCUUCGGAACGGGGUAAGGGUGAAAAGGUGCGGUAAGAGCGCACCGCCGCGCCAGUAAUGGCGCGGGCAGGGCAAACCCCACACGGAGCAAGACCAAAUAGGGAAGGAGUCUCGCUGUUGCUGCGAAGCACCGGCGAGCACGUGCCGGCUCGGCGCGUUCUACUUCCGGGUAGGUCGCUAGAGCCGCGCAGCGAUGCGCGGCCCAGAGGAAUGACCGUCCUGCCGCAAGGCAGACAGAAUUCGGCUUACAGGUCCGGCUGCCAU
rnacentral:RNase_P_RNA from 1 species